GCCGGCUUCUUCUCCGUAGGGCUGUCUCUUUUCUUGGUGUUGCAUCAUGUCCUAGUGUCCUGCUGUGCUGUGAAGUACAGAUGUUAAGCAAUGACAUUUGAAGACGGAUUAACAUGAAGCACCAGGUCUGCUUCAAAUGGAUUGUUGUGCCAUAUCUGUUCUGCUUCCCAUUCGGCUACGAAAAGGUUGGCGUAACUCGGCGUGAACCUGGCACCCAUGGCUGUCCCACAUAGAUGACGGUAUAAAUACACAGUUAACCUCUUAGUGUCCAGAGGGAAGGACAAUCUUUCAAGCCAUGGUUCCCCAGAGGUUUCCCCCCUUAGGGUGGUUUUUCCUCUCCUGUGUGCUGAAAGGUGACUCUUCGUGAGUCUCGAGGUAGCUGUCACCAUGAUCAGCUCUUUCAGUCCUAAUUAAUUGGACUAUUAAUUAAUUAAUGUUGUAA